CUGCUGCCUUCCGUAGGAGUCUGGUCCGUGUCUCAGUACCAGUGUGGGGGACCUUCCUCUCAGAACCCCUACGCAUCGUCGCCUUGGUGGGCCGUUACCCCGCCAACAAGCUAAUGCGACGCAUGACCAUCCGUAGCCGGAAUCGCUUCCUUUAAACCCACAGAGAUGCCUCCAUGGGUUGUUACGCGGUAUUAGACGGAAUUUCUUCCGCUUAUCCCCCUGCUACGGGCAGGUUUCAUACGUGUUACUCACCCGUGCGCCGGUCGCCGGCGGG
rnacentral:rRNA from 1 species